rnacentral:rRNA from 1 species
UGCCAGCCGCCGCGGUAAUACAGAGGGUGCGAGCGUUAAUCGGAAUUACUGGGCGUAAAGGGUGCGUAGGUGGUUAUUUAAGUUAGGUGUGAAAUCCCAGGGCUCAACCCCGGAAGUGCAUUGGAAACUGGCGAACUUGAGUACGGGAGAGGAAAGUGGAAUUCCGAGUGUAGGGGUGAAAUCCGUAGAUAUUCGGAGGAACACCAGUGGCGAAGGCGGCUUUCUGGACCGAUACUGACGCUGAGACGCGAAAGCGUGGGGAGCAAACAGGAUUAGAUA